CUGAUUAUUGCCUUCUUUGUUUGGCUCUCUACCGUGGCGCACUACCGAGGGAUCUGAAUUACGCUUUGCAAGAUGAUGUUUUUUCUCCUGGUGGCUUUCUCCUUGAUCAAUUACCCAGUUGCUAACUGUCAUAGCAGUAGUGAUUCAGACAGUAAUGAGGUAAGACGGAAAUCUAAUCAUUAUAGCAGCGAGUCUGACAGUAAUGAGAGAGGCAAUCGUCAUCCGGUACUUAAGUGGCCUUACUUCCCCGCCUGGCCAUUUCCUGGUUUGUGGCCACCAGCUCCUGCAACACCUCCACCCCCACCCCCAACUCCAGCACCAACAACAACACCA